rnacentral:rRNA from 1 species
AACGAACGCUGGCGGCAGGCCUAACACAUGCAAGUCGAGCGAGGACUUCGGUUCUAGCGGCGGACGGGUGAGUAACGCGUGGGAAUGUGCCCUUCUCUACGGAAUAGCCCUGGGAAACUGGGAGUAAUACCGUAUACGCCCUAUUGGGGAAAGAUUUAUCGGAGAAGGAUCAGCCCGCGUUGGAUUAGGUAGUUGGUGGGGUAAUGGCCUACCAAGCCGACGAUCCAUAGCUGGUUUGAGAGGAUGAUCAGCCACACUGGGACUGAGACACGGCCCAGACUCCUACGGGAGGCAGCAGUGGGGAAUCUUAGACAAUGGGGGCAACCCUGAUCUAGCCAUGCCGCGUGAGUGAUGAAGUCCUUAGGGUUGUAAAGCUCUUUCAGCUGGGAAGAUAAUGACGGUACCAGCAGAAGAAGCCCCGGCUAACUCCGUG